rnacentral:tRNA from 1 species
GCCGAAGUGGCGGAACUGGCAUACGCGCACGACUCAAAAUCGUGUCCCCUAAAGGGAUGUGGGUUCGAUUCCCACCUUCGGCACCA